AAGUUUAGAGAAGCAAACCCACAGUUGGGGUCAAGCUAUUGGGCUUAGUACCCAAGCCCAAGCUGCCUAGGUCCAGACUUGUCAGGUAAUUCCCAGAUUGGGCCAAGUCACAAGUCUGGCCCAUUUCAUAUUAGCCUUUAUUCAGGCAAUUCUGAUACAACGGGCUCCAUUUAUAACAAAGGGCCAUUGAGAUGGUUUUUGCUAAAAUACUGUGGAAUGCAGUUAUUAACCAAAGCAAUCAAUCAAAAAGAGAAAUAUUACAAUAUAUUUUAUAUCAAUUCUAUGCAGGAAAUCAGUUCAUUAGGAACAGUCCAUGGAUUAACAAUACAUUCAAAUGUAUGACUACAUGCCUUUCCCUUUCUUUUUUUUAAGAGAAAAUUUUGUUAUCCAUUGAAUACUCCAUAUGAUUUUGGGCUCUUUCACUUGCCACCAGCUUUCAAAAGGGCCUUUGAAUUACAAGGUCAGCCAUAGAGCUGCUCUGCAAAUCAACACCUUUUAUUCCGAAUCAAUAGGUUUCCAAUUUCCUCUUUCUUGUUACAACUCCACAUACAAAUCAAGAAAAUAAAAAAAAAAUUGUGAAGAGUAGUUUAUUAGCAUCACAUAUUCAAAAGAAUAAAAAGAAGACAGUUGGCAACAACAAUGCUAAGGAAUCGGAUUUACCAUAACUCGUGAUGGAAAGCUAAGUAUAACUAGAAUAGAAAUAGCAAAGACCCUGGCAUGGAACAAUCCUUGAAAGCUAAACAUGAUGGCAUACAGAUCAACCCAUAUAGCCUUUAAAAAUAUUCAGCAACUAAAGAGGCUAAACUCUAUAACAUGGUGGACAAGCAUAAACACAUGGGGACCAUUUAUCAGAAACACACGGUAUAACUUUCAGAGACAGUUUCAAAGAGGAAAGAAAAACUUUGUAAAGACAUAUAGUUCAACAAGACACCAAUUCACAUUUUUCAUUCAUGUAUUUCAAAAUGGGGGCUACAGAUGAGAUAUCAAUAUACCUAAUGCUGGAAAUAAAAGCUGAGACUAAGUAUAGGUUUAAGGGCCAAGAAGAAAACCCAAUAGGACCCCAGAAAGAGAAGCAAUCAACAUGCAGUUUAACAGCAAGAAUGAGGAAAACUUCAGCUCCAGAAAACCAAUACCAGUUCAAGAUCCAACUUAGAUGAACCCAAGUUUUCUUUUUAAAAGAGAAAUCAGAACUUUUAAACCUUUUCAGUAAAUGCAGGAAGUUUUUGUGAGUUGAAACUCAACCUCAAAAUGAGUGUUCAUUUAGAGAAUAUUUUCGGUGUAUUCAGAGAAUUUUUGGGUCAGUAUGCUGAAUGAAUCCUAUUUCAGUGAGAGUGAGGUCUCCUUUUAUAGGGUAUAUGAGCAUGAAAAGAUAAGAGUUAGAGGGGUAUAAAGGAAUCUUUUCUAGGGGAAUUCUGCCAGCCCCUCCCUUUCAAAUGUAGGGAUAAAGUACUAUUCUAUACCAGAAAAUGGACAGCUGUUGAGACAGCUGUCUAUGCAGGUUUUCCCCUUAUUUUUUAGUCCUUUACAAUUCUAAAAUUAUCCCUUUUUUAACCCUAAACGGAACUAAUUUCCUAAUGCAAUUUGCAUUUCAGUCCCCACCCUCAUCUUCUAGAAACUUCUAGCCAAUUCCAGAUUUAAAACCCUUAUUGUGGCUUCCAAUUAUUUCUUUUAAAGUUUUCUGUCAUUAGCAAAAGCCGGAAUCUAAAUGAUUAUACUUAAAACUAAAAUGGAAUGCCACAAACAGCCUGUAUUUGACACUCACUCAGAAAUUGGCUAACCUAAUUAAAACAUGCAAGCAAAAAGUCAUUCUUAAAAGAGAUUUAGGUUCUAAUCUAGCUGAAAUAAAAAUAAAGAAGAAAGAAAAAACAGUAAAGAGGCAAAGUAAUAAUUCUAAUCAUUUUUUUAACAAAAAUCAGAUAAUUAAAAUUCUCGCUAAACCAUGCGAAGCAAAAACUUUUAACCCUAGAUAUGCUGAAACAUAGAAAUUAGAGAAGAGAAGAACAAAAAGGAAGCGGGUUAUUACCUAAAAACAAAGAGGAAUAUCUUUGAUAAGCACUGGGCCAAACAAUGGGGUUCAAAUCCCUCUGAAAUGACCCGGAAUUAACGCUAAUCGGUUGUUCGUGCCAAGAACAACUGACUAGCAUAAAUUUUGAGUCAACACAAGCCUUGAAACUCAACGAGCAGUCAAAGAAGAAAGAACUCGAUCUUUCUGUUUUCUAGAUCCGGUUCUGAGAGCAUUCAAUGGGAAUUUGGGGAAUAUGGUAAUAGAUUGAUGACGAGGGGAGAUUGAGGAGUAUGGGAUAUCGAUUUGGGUAUUUGGAGGGAUUAUGAUAGCCGCCGCCAGCUAAUGAGUUGAGAGAAUUUAGGGGCGGCUAGAUUAGGGUUAGGGAUGGGACGAAAGUGAAGGGGGGGGGGAGGUUCUCUAGGAUUUGACAGGGUUCGGACGGUCAUAUAGGGAGAAGGAGAUCAGUUCCCA
rnacentral:lncRNA from 1 species